UACGUAGGGUGCGAGCGUUUGUCCGGAAUUAUUGGGCGUAAAGAGCUUGUAGGCGGUUUGUCGCGUCUGCCGUGAAAAUCCGGGGCUCAACCCCGGACUUGCGGUGGGUACGGGCAGACUAGAGUGUGGUAGGGGAGACUGGAAUUCCUGGUGUAGCGGUGAAAUGCGUAGAUAUCUGGAGGAACACCGGUGGCGAAGGCGGCAUCCUGGACCAAUAUUGACGCUGAGGAGCGAAAGCCAGGGGAGCAAACGGGG
rnacentral:rRNA from 1 species